UGCUCAGGAUUAAUAAAGUGCACGUGUGUAUCAAUGCCACCUGCAGUUACGAUUUUACCUUCAGCAGCGAUGAUAUCUGUGGUUGCACCAAUAAUAAUGUCUACAUUGUCCAUAAUAUCAGGGUUGCCGGCUUUACCAAUACCCAUAAUAUAGCCAUUUUUAACGCCAAUAUCUGCUUUUACAACUUUAUCGUAAUCAAUGAUAAGGGCAUUCGUUAGCACUAAAUCAGCCACUUUGCGAUCAUCUCGAGUGACGUUUGGGUUUUGUGCCAUGCCAUCACG
rnacentral:sRNA from 1 species